rnacentral:rRNA from 1 species
AUUGAACGCUGGCGGCAGGCCUAACACAUGCAAGUCGAACGGUAACAGGAAACAGCUUGCUGUUUCGCUGACGAGUGGCGGACGGGUGAGUAAUGUCUGGGAAACUGCCUGAUGGAGGGGGAUAACUACUGGAAACGGUAGCUAAUACCGCAUAACGUCGCAAGACCAAAGAGGGGGACCUUCGGGCCUCUUGCCAUCGGAUGUGCCCAGAUGGGAUUAGCUAGUAGGUGGGGUAACGGCUCACCUAGGCGACGACCCCUAGCUGGUCUGAGAGGAUGACCAGCCACACUGGAACUGAGACACGGUCCAGACUCCUACGGGAGGCAGCAGUGGGGAAUAUUGCACAAUGGGCGCAAGCCUGAUGCAGCCAUGCCGCGUGUAUGAAGAAGGCCUUCGGGUUGUAAAGUACUUUCAGCGGGGAGGAAGGGAGUAAAGUUAAUACCUUUGCUCAUUGACGUUACCCGCAGAAGAAGCACCGGCUAACUCCGUG